rnacentral:lncRNA from 1 species
AGCUCUAGGGCAGAGAACAAAAGAAUUGCAAAAUGUAUUCAGCACCAAACAAUGCUAAACCAAGAAACAUCCAAUCACAAAACUAGGAAGUUUGGCAAGAAGUGGUUAGAGAAAUCUCUGGGCUUUUCCAUGGGCAGGGUCGACAGACUCUCUUUUCAGUGAUUUCUGGCUCUGAGAAACCUCUUUACUCACUAGAAAAGAACUUUAUUUAAAUGGCCAAUUUUGUUCCUCAGAAAAAGAAAUUAAAAAAAAAGAAAAAUAGGAUACUGAAGACAGAACCAUGUGACUUGGUGACAAACAAAAGGAGGGGUGCACUAGAAUUUCAAUAGGCUCCCUAAUUCCAUAGAAAAAGCAAAGCAACCCAAUGCCUCCUGAGCCUGCAGUGCAUGAAGAGAGUGCUUGAGCUGACCCAGCCACCAGGCCUUCUGGGGCUAGACAUAACUUCCCACUGGAACAGCAGCAGCCUCUUUCCCCUCUUUGUGUUUUCAUGAAGAAAACGGCUGUUCUCUUAGGUAGCCAGGAAAUAGAUUACAUGGGGCAAACUUUCAAAAGCAAUCUCUACCCUGGUGCUCAGGCUACAUACAGAGGCAGAAAAGGGGCACGGAAGAGCCCUUGCUCUUGAGAGAGAGUAUUUUCAUAUUCCCAAGGGCUUUCCGUGUAGAGUUGCUAUUUCUGAUAUCACUUAAACCUUUACAAGAAAAAAGGCUGUGGUGACUCAGUGUUCCUAUAAAUUCAGAAUGUGGAAACUACUAAUCCAAAGCAUCAUUUCUAGCACUGAGUAUCAAGACGAUCAGCCUGACCAAAAUAUUGCAAAGAGUUUUCUAAGUCUCUGAAGAUUUUUUUCUCCUUGAACACUGAGUCUAUAGCAGUCAGCAAUGUACCUUAGCCGAUCCCUGGGAAUGGUUAUGGAACAGUAGGGCUUGUUUCCAUCCUUUUUAGAGUGAAGAGAUAGAAAAUUAGGGCUACCUAGUGUGGGUUCUUUUUCAGAACUAUGUAUUUUCUCCUCACUGCAUGAUGGGUAAAAAUGCCCUGGGUUGAAACAAGAAACAUUAUCUUUCCACACCACUGACUAAAACACCUGCCAGUGGUUUCUUUAGGCUCCACCUUUUGCUCCGUAAACUGUAGACUUUCAGACUGAAAUCUAAUCUUAAGUGACCUCAAUUAAGGUAUUUUCACAAAAGGCUACUUAUAGUGUAGCAUUAUUGCCUUAAAUCAGAAAGCCCUGGGAAGAGGAUAAAAGAUAUAGAAAUGAGAAGGCUCUGAAGUUAUAGGCAUUUCUUGCUGUUUAAUAGUUACAUUAUCACAAAAACAAGCCCUAUUCAUGAUUGAGGACUAUGGAAAUAGUGACUUCUUGAGGAGGCACCAAACUUUCCUAGAACUGGGUACUCUCAGAUAGUGGCUGCUAUUUCCUAUUCUAUUUCAGUGACGUAGGUUGGGGCUGAAUGUAAAAUAGACAUCAUAUUACUAAAUAGAAUCCUAUAAAAUGCAAUCACAGGUGCCCGGGAGUACUAGUUUUAAACAUUUCCUUAACAAGGAGAACAAUCCAGCAAAAAGCUUUCUUUCUCUAUACAGUGUAUAUCUCUAAACUUUUUUUCCUCAGUUUUAGAGAACAUCUGUUUUAUCUGGUGGUUCUUUGUUUGAAUGCAAACUCAUAACUUUCAAGUCUCCGGUGCAAGAGCAUAAUCUACAGAUCAUGGGCAAAAUCUAGCCACAGUCCUGAGAGUCCAGGCUUCUGGGAUGCCCAGCUGGGUAUAAAAGUCCCUACUAACCCUGUUUCAAAUUCAGAGGUUUCUUUGGUUUAGAAUGCCUCAAUGAGAUUUUGAUACAUCCAAGAGAGAAAAAAAAAAAAAAAAUUUUUUUUUUUUUUCCAAAAAAAGUAAAACCAGAGUUUCAGGAACUCUUUAUCCACAGAGGCUAAUAGAAAUAGAAUUUGGAAAUAUCUAUCUGAGACAUUUUUAAAUCUGAGGAAUCCGUAAAAUGGUGGCUCUUGGGUAUCCAGCCCUCAGGAUCUCCAUUUACCUGUUAAAGUGAGGAUUUGGUGCCUUUCUUCUUUAGUUGGGCCAUCAAGAAAACUUCAGAAAUCAGGCAUUCUGUCUUCCUAUACAAUAAAUAUUUUCAGAUCAUAUUUUCAGAUAAGAGUCUUCAGCUUCCCUCAGCUAUUCAACCCAAUGCAUGGAAAGCCUCAGUUGAAUAAACUUUUCCACCAUCCCAGGUGCCUGAAACUAGUGUCCUUCUUCACUUCUACAUUCAGGACAAAAUGAAGUCAGGUUUUUAAAACCUCAGUAUAAAAGACCCCCUCACACUGGUCCAAUAUGAAGACUUCUCAGCGUGAACACUGGGGAAUUCCUUCCUUUCAUCUUUCCUAAUAGAUUGUUGUUUUCUAAUCCCAUCCCAUUCUGCUGGAUGCAUUCCUGAAGAUCUCUGGUGCUGAAGGGCCUCGAGUUCCUUUCAGAGACUGUAUUUGACACACUUUAGGUACACACAAACGAAUGGUAUCACAUGCAAUAUUUUAAUGGAGCAAUGGGAGAGGCUCUUUGAAAUGGGGUUUGCAUCUUUUUGUAACAUUUUGAUUUCUCUGGUGCCUUAUUCCUACUUGAUGCUGGCACUCACAUACCCACAAGAAGCUGACACAGAAGUCAGCCUUAGGCGUGGGGACAUAUGGGUGAUGUUUGAGCAUGCAGGGGCCAUGGGGAGUUUGGUGUCAGUUGGUGGAGAAGGGACUAGAUGGCAUCUCUUAGCCGAGGCCAACAGGAACUGCACAAGUCCAUUAUAGUCAAAGUUAGCAAUUUUGAUACGUAAACACAAUACUUCAUUCUUCCUCAUCUGAGCUUUCCUUCCUUCUUCCUUUUCUAUCUCUACCUUCUCAUAAAGGUGCUGCUGCUGCUGCUAAGGUGCCCGGAGUCCAGAAUGUCCAUUAAUCACUCAGGCACGAGCCUGGCACUGCCACGUCAGCCCCCAGCAUGACCAAACCCAGGUUUCUCUUGCUUGGGGCUGAGAACUGUCAGAUUUUUCUCAUCAAAAAUGUUUUCCAAGGAAUCAGUGGAUUACAGUUUUUCUGCAUUGAAAAUGCACUUUAAAAAAUAAAUUAAAGCUCCAGACUGUUUAAAAUAUACAGAGGGAGCAGGGGAAAGUUAAGCAUGUGCUAGUGUCUGAACCCAGUUCAGUUUAUCUCCAGUUGAAACGAUAUACACUAUAUUAUGUAUAAAUGUAUACACACUUCCUAUAUGUAUCCACAUAUAUAUAGUGUAUAUAUUAUACAUGUAUAGGUGUGUAUAUGUGCAUAUAUACACACAUGCACAUAACAAAAUCAGAUGCUCAUUACAAAUCCAGAUGCUCAUUACAAAACCAGAUGCUACACAAACAGCAGCAGAGGAAACAAGGUUGGACUCUUGCAACAGAUCACAAAAAAUAAAAACAGCUACUUGCAGUGACUUUGGUCAUUUCUGUAUGUUCAUAAAGAAUGGAUUGUAACAAGGAAAAAAAGGAACAGUGUUAGUGAAAAAGGAAAAAUGGGCGAAACCAUCUUGAUCCGAUGCGAAUGCAGUAAUGUUCUAUAUACCAUUUCAUCAGUUAUUUCUUUUAGUCAUGUUGAUUUGAUUUCAGUUUCUGGCUAUGAAAAACAUUUUUAAACUCGUCACCCACAACAAACUGAACAAAACUACUACAGUGAAAGCCCUUUUCAGUGAAAGAUGUCAGAAACCUCAAAACCUUUGGCCUGACUCAGAACUACCAUGUGAAAAUCAGUACUCUCUUAAUGUUUGAAAUAAAAACUGAAAAAAAAAACAAAAAAACAAAAAACCUUUUUUGAAGCACCUUAACGUGGCCAUCCAUUUGAGAAGUGGGUGCCACUUUUUUCUUUGAGCACCUUAUUGAUGUGUUUGCUAUCUGCUGUCUUUCUGUUACCUGUUGGCUGAAUGGCUAGCUGUUAACAUAUACAUGUGCACAGAAGAGAUAUCUGGGCAUGUAUGUUCUCAAUGAAGUUUACUGUGGUGACUGCUGAAAGGUGAACCCAUUUCCUGAUUUUCCCGCCGCAGUGUUGUGAUAAGAUUCGAAGAAACCUUUUUCCCUGCACAGAAAUGUUACACACUGUAUGUUUAUGUGACCUAAAACAUACACACAUGCACACACACAUACAUAUCCAUUCAUUCAUUCAUUCAAGUGGUGUUUCCAGUGUCUGUGUGUCACUGUUUAUGCAGUUUCCAUUUCCCAGUGAAUUAUGAGUGGAGGGCAACUUUUCUAACCAGAUUGUCUUUUCAGAACAAAGACCUGGGAAUUGAGGAAGAGUUUGGAAAGAGGGAGAGGCAAGGAAAGAGAGCUUUAAAUUGAAAGGUUAAUUUCCUAAGAGGAACCUGGGCUGAAUGACUGCAGUGUUAUACCCUCCAAUCUUUGCAGGUGGGCAUGGAACACUGCUUGUAUCACUCUGUGCACGGUAUAAAUCCAUAUAUCCACAAAAACACACAUCCAUCCAUCAACAUAUACAUGGUUUGGGAUGAGCAGGUCAAUAGUUUUGAGAGGGAGUUUGUUCCUUUUUUUUUCUCAUUAUACUCUUAAAUUGUUGUCAGUUAUCAAACAAACAAACAGAAAAAUUGUUUGGAAAAACCUUGCAUACGCCUUUUCUAUCAAGUGCUUUAAAAUAUAGACUAAAUACACACAUCCUGCCAGUUUUUUCUUACAGUGACAGUAUCCUUACCUGCCAUUUAAUAUUAGCCUCGUAUUUUUCUCACGUAUAUUUACCUGUGACUUGUAUUUGUUAUUUAAACAGGAAAAAAAACAUUC